UACGAAGGGGGCAAGCGUUGUUCGGAAUUACUGGGCGUAAAGGGCGCGUAGGCGGCCGAUCAAGUCAGGCGUGAAAUUCCCGGGCUCAACCUGGGGGCUGCGUUUGAUACUGAUUGGCUUGAAUGCGGGAGAGGAUAGUGGAAUUCCCAGUGUAGAGGUGAAAUUCGUAGAUAUUGGGAAGAACACCAGUGGCGAAGGCGGCUAUCUGGCCCGUUAUUGACGCUGAGGCGCGAAAGCGUGGGGAGCAAACAGGAUUAGAAA
rnacentral:rRNA from 1 species